AUCUCUUUAUCCUGGUAGAGAUGGGCAGGAAAGAAUGAAUGGCUUAACUUGUGUGGCUUUGUUUACAAUUUUCACGAAAAGCAAAUGCAUUUUGAUGUUCAUAUCUUUGCAGUAUCGGUGCAUGCAACCCUGAAAGGCUUUGGCUGUUGAUUGCUCCAUGCAAGUUCUGCUGCAACAUUUUUAGUUAAAAGGGCAGGUGCAAAUUAGACAACUUCUCCUGGGGAGCUACUGAACAUCUGGUCAUGUCAGAGUAAUGUCAAAGUGCUUACAGUGCAGGUAGUGAUAUAAGAACCUACUGCAGUGAAGGCACUUGUAGCAUUAUAUUGACAAGUGCCACGGGACAUCUUGCAGAACUGCAGUAAUUUGCAAGGUACAAUGUGGUAUUAAGUGCUUUUUGUUCUAAGGUGCAUCUAGUGCAGAUAGUGAAGUAGAUUAGCAUCUACUGCCCUAAGUGCUCCUUCUGGCAUAAGAAGUUAUAUCUUCAUCCAGUCACUCAGGCCGAUUAAGAAUAUAGAUGUUCCAAUAGCUGUCUGCUCUGCAGUCCUCUGUUAGUUUUGCAUAGUUGCACUACAAGAAGAAUGUAGUUGUGCAAAUCUAUGCAAAACUGAUGGUGGCCUGUUAUUGUCUACAUCAAGAAAGUGAAUUUUAUUUAUUGCUUAAGUAUUUUGGUGGUCUUGCUUUCAUAGCAGUUCUUUCAGUUUAGUAAAUGUGACAGCUUCUGUAGUACUAAAGUGCUUAUAGUGCAGGUAGUGUUCAGUAAUCUACUGCAUUAUGAGCACUUAAAGUACUGCUAGCUGUAGAACUACAACUUCAGGAUACCUUCCUAUCAGACUAACUUUUUUGUUUUGUUUUGUUGAACACUGUUCUCUGGUUAGUUUUGCAGGUUUGCAUCCAGCUGUAUGAUACUCUGCUGUGCAAAUCCAUGCAAAACUGACUGUGGCAGUGACAAGUCAGUGAAUAAGUGAGGAAAGUUGUACCCCUUUCUACACAGGUUGGGAUAAGUUGCAAUGCUGUGUGUGUGUCUGUAGUAUUGCACUUGUCCCGGCCUGUUGAGGUUGGUGGGGACAGAGACUGCAACAUCUUCAGUAGUUUGAUUAUUUUAGGAAGUUGUACUGCAUUUUUCCAGAAAACCCAAAUUCCUAAUAACUUACUUUCUGAACUGUUCCAUGUAAACUAAUGUAUGGCUGGACAUCAAAUGCCACAGACAUUUCUGUAUUUGUAAAUUUUUUGUAUGUUUACUAAAUUAAUGUUCAAUAA